rnacentral:rRNA from 1 species
UUUUCGUAGGUGAACCUGCGAAAGGAUCAUUAUCGGCACAUCCCUGAACUCGGAACGGAGGCGGCUCGAGGUCGCCGGAGUCUCGUGAGCAUGCGUGGUGGACGGCUCGGUUCCCGCGUCGAUGAAGGACGUAUCGAGAUACGAAAGGUGUUGCGAAUUGCAAGAUUUCGCGAGUCAAUGACCAUCCGAAUGCAUCGCCGCCCUCCCCUCGCCUCCGGGCGGAGGGAGGACGCGUCGGCGACAUCGUCCUGUAAGCUCGCUGUUCGACCCAGAGAGCAGGCGUCCGUGGACGGAGUCACGCGCUGGCGUGCCCGUUCCCACAGCAUCCUCCGGACCGCCCAUCCCUCAGCGACGCGCGGACGGACGGUGUCAGGGGCUGCGAUGUCGUCGGCGAGGAAACCCGCUGAACUUAAGCAUAUCAUUAAGCGG